rnacentral:tRNA from 1 species
GAGGCUCUAGCUUAAUUAAAGUGUUUGCUUUGCAUGCAGAAGAUGUGGGUUAAAUGCCCGUGAGUUUUA